CUUAUCCAGAGUGACGGAGGGAACAGGCCCGAUGAUGUCCGGCAACCUGCUUUUGCGGCAAGGUGCUAAUUCCUGCGGGGCAACCCGGCAGAUGAGG
rnacentral:ncRNA from 1 species